rnacentral:misc_RNA from 1 species
GACCGCGACACCAGACCAUUUCGAAAAUGGUGAGUGGUUUAGCGGAGGAAGUUGUAAAAGAACAAAACCAGUGAAGGAAGGUAAUUUCACUUUGAGUGAGGUCAACAAAAUUCUACAUGAAAUCGAGUUGGAGGAAAUCGGAAAGGCUACAGCUAAAGCUUCUGAAAAGGGUUUGAAUCUAAAACUUUUCGAUGUAACUAGCCUUUCAUUAAUGAGGCCCGAUGGGCAUCCAGGUCCAUACAGGCAUUUUCAUCCAUUUGCAAAAGAUAAGAAUGCAAAAGUCAUCAAUGACUGCUUGCAUUGGUGUUUGCCUGGACCUAUAGACGCUUGGAACGAUAUGCUAAUGGAGAUGGUGUUAAAUGGUCAAUGAGAUGAACUUGUGAAAUGCAAGUUGUUUUCUUGAGAAAAUUCAAGGCUAGCUAACAGGGAUGAACAUUGCUUGUUUAUCUCUAAUCUGUGAUGUGAAUACUACAGAGAUUUAAGGCACAUAACAGGUGCUCCUCGCGACUACAUUCCACGGUUGAUGCAUCAGUUUGGCAAUAUAUAGAUUUUUUCAGUAGGGAAGUUCAUCUUGAUUGCAAUGUUAUUACCUGAUUCUCAUAUACAUGAUUUUCCAGGAAUCUGUAGUGGGAAUUCUUUUUUCUAUCUUUUGGGAUUUGGAAAUAUUUAUUUAGAGUUCUGAAUCAAAUGAAAAUUUGAUGUUGGUCAGUCACAACUCACAACUCACUAGAUUGUGUUGUAUGUACACUUUGUACUUAUAAUA